GAUGAAGAACGUAGCGAAAUGCGAUAAGUAAUGUGAAUUGCAGAAUUCAGUGAAUCAUCGAAUCUUUGAACGCACCUUGCACCCUUUGGCAUUCCGAAGGGUAUGCUCGUUUGAGUGUCAUUGUACUCUCACACUUCCAAUCUUUGGAUUGGGAGCAGUGGACUUGGGUGUUGCUGCUUACUGUGGCUCACCUCAAAUCGAUUCGUGCACCUCUUGGUUGGACAUAGUACGGCGUGAUAAGUGUCUUCGCCGGCACCUCAGUAGAGGGUGGCUGAUCAGGAGCUCUGUGCUUCAAACCGUCCUCGGACAACAACUGACAACUUGACCUCAAAUCGAGUAGGACUACCCGCUGAACUUAAGCAUAUCAAUAAGCGGUGGA
rnacentral:misc_RNA from 1 species